rnacentral:rRNA from 1 species
AUACGAAGGGGGCUAGCGUUGUUCGGAAUUACUGGGCGUAAAGCGCGCGUAGGCGGACUGAUCAGUUGGGGGCGAAAUCCCAGGGCUUAACCCUGGAACUGCCUCCAAUACUGUCAGUCUUGAGUUCGGGAGAGGUGAGUGGAAUUCCUAGUGUAGAGGUGAAAUUCGUAGAUAUUAGGAAGAACACCAGUGGCGAAGGCGGCUCACUGGCCCGAUACUGACGCUGAGGCGCGAAAGCGUGGGGAGCAAACAGGAUUAGAUACCCUAGUAGUCC